UUGGAGGGCAAGUCUGGUGCCAGCAGCCGCGGUAAUUCCAGCUCCAAUAGCGUAUAUUAAAGUUGUUGUGGUUAAAAAGCUCGUAGUUGAACCUUGGGCCUGGCUGGCCGGUCCGCCUCACCGCGUGUACUGGUCCGGCCGGGCCUUUCCCUCUGUGGAACCCCAUGCCCUUCACUGGGUGUGGCGGGGAAACAGGACUUUUACUGUAGAAAAAAUUAGAGUGCUCCAGGCGGGCCUAUGCUCGAAUACAUUAGCAUGAAUAUAAGAAUAGGACGUGUU
rnacentral:rRNA from 1 species